AUUGAACGCUGGCGGCAUGGCUAAAACAUGCAAGUCGAGCGCGAAACCCCUUCGGGGGGAGUAGAGCGGCGAAAGGGCGAGGAAUACAUUCCUACGUACCCCAAGGUCGAGGAUAGCCCGGGGAAACCCGGGGUAAUACUCGAUGUGGUGCUUCGGCAUCAAAGGCUUGCUGCCUUGGGAGCGGGGAAUGUCCUAUCAGGUUGUUGGUGAGGUAACGGCUCACCAAGCCGAAGACGGGUAGCGGGUGUGAGAGCACGACCCGCCGCAUCGGGACUGAGACACUGCCCGGACUCCUGCGGGAGGCUGCAGUAACGAAUCUUCCGCAAUGCACGAAAGUGUGACGGGGCAAUGCCGCGUGUGGGAUGAAGCCCUUCGGGGUGUAAACCACUGUCAGGGUUCAGGAAACAAAUGACCAGACCCAAAGGAAGGGCCGGCUAACUCUGUGCCAGCAGCCGCGGUAAUACAGAGGGCCCGAGCGUUAAUCGGAAUCACUGGGCUUAAAGCGCACGUAGGCGGAUUUGAAGGCAUCUUGUGAAAUCCCUCGGCUCAACCGGGGAAUUGCAGGGUGAACCACAAGUCUUGAGGCGAGUAGAGGCGGUCGGAACGAUAGGUGGAGCGGUGAAAUGCGUAGAUAUCUAUCGGAACGCCAAAGGUGAAGACAGGCCGCUGGGCUCGUCCUGACGCUGAGGUACGAAAGCGUGGGUAGCGAACGGGAUUAGAUACCCCGGUAGUCCACGCCGUAAACGAUGCGCACUAGGUCGGGGAGGUUUGACGCCCUCCCGGCCGAAGCAAAAGUGUUUAGUGCGCCGCCUGGGGAGUACGGUCGCAAGGCUA
rnacentral:rRNA from 1 species